UCUCCUUCCAGCUCUCUCAGCUUCUCUUCCUCCCUUUGCUCCUCCAAUUUCCCCAGCACUGCCACCCCAUUCUUAUUCUGUUCCCCCAUCUCUCCCGGUCCUUUCUUCUUCCUCUGAUCCUUCUCCCUUCUUUAGUCGCCCCCUAUUCUUCUCCACAAUCUCCUUCUUGCACUGAUCCCUGCUGUCUCCCUGUUCCCGCAGCUGCCCUUGCUUCACCACAUAAGUGUCUUGGUUUGGGUGCUGUAGGCCCUGACUGGCUCAGCAGCCCCCCAGGGAGGAGAGUCAGGACAACCUGAGGUACAGACACUGGAUGACGUUUGAGUUCCAUAUAGGGAAUGAUGGUGCCAGGAUCCUAACUAGCAUCCUAUAUGCAAAUGUAUGCAGUACAGCAAAUGAGACUUGCAAAGAUGAUGUGGCCACAGGAAUACAGAAGUGGGUUUGUCAAAAGCCACUGUGAAGAUAACAGCAGACCAGUCAGCAAUUCCCAGCAACCAUGAUUGUGGGCUAGGAGUUCUGAGACUCAGGCUGUCCCACCUCUCCCAGAACUGCAGCCUGGCUGUCCCCAGCAAAACACUCCUAUGGAUGAUGGAAAUGGAGAGACACCAAAGGACUUCUCUACAAGCAGUUGGGUCCUUGGCAACAGAGGGAAUGUAUAGACACCCAAAUGCUAUCUGGAUCUGCCCACAUCUGCCUCUGAGAAAGAAGUGGAGUCCACUGUGCCAAGAGCCUACAUUCUCUGUUGUGCUCAUCCUAAAAGAAUGCCCUGCAAGGCAAAUCUGCUUCACAUAGACCUUACAGCAGAAAUCUGAUUUUAGCUAAUUUAACAGGGACAAUACUGUUAGCUGCAUUACUGAGUGGAGGAACCCAACUCAUGAACUUGGGUUUCAAUAUGAAAACUAGACUAUUGAGCACAACCUCACUUAGAAGUGAGGCCUUGGCUUCAAGGAGUUGGCAAUUCCAGAAAUCCAAAGAUCAUCAAGAAAUAACGAGGUCAGGCAGACUAUAGAGGGCCUUGGAAGUGAAAAGGGUGGAAGGAAGUCUGGAUGGGGACACAACUGACCUUUCUAGGGAUCAACUGUUAGGCACAAUCUGCCCCUUCCCAGAUAAUCACAAAUAUACACAUUACAGCUAUGACAUUUUUCCAAAGCUCACACUCACAGAUUCUAAACCUGUUCUAUUAUUCCUCCAGUUUAUACACUGAAGACAGCAUCACAGAAAGACUGUUUUCCAAGGUUUCCCAGAGAGUUGUAGGUCAGGAUUGUUUAGGAUGCCCUACCACCCCACCAUCAGACAUCAGACAUAAACUAGAGGGCAAGCAAUGCAAUUCUUUUAGUAACAAUACUUUCUGUUUUGUUUUUCAAGGCAGGGUUUCUCUGUGGCUUUGGAGGCUGUCCUGGAACUAGCUCUUGUAGACCAGGCUGGUCUCGAACUCACAGAGAUCAUCUUGCCUCUGCCUCCAGAGUGCUGGGAUUAAAGGAAUGCGCCACCACCGCCUGGCUAGUAACAAUACUUUUUAAAGCCUUUAAAAAUUAUAGUUGCAGCUUGAAUGCGCAGCACAAAGAUUCAUGAGUACACUAUGAAAUAUACUGAACAGCACAGCAGACCACCCCAGCCCAUGUCAGUGAAUGCCUCUGUGAGCCAAGGCUGUGCUUAAUGUUGCAGGAAAUGGAAGUAUUCCUACACAUCUAAAGUAAGUAGAAACUUUGACUCACUGUAGGAGAGCUUCAGAAGCAACACUCACUGGCCAUAGAGUUUCUUUAGAAUUUUUUAAAUAAAAAUAUUUAUUUUAUUUUUAAUUAUGUAUGCAUGUGUGGAUAUACUCAUGUAAAUGCUGGUGCCUCUGGAGGCCAGAAGUUUAGGAUCUAGAGUCACAGUUGGGAGAUACCUGACAUGGAUGCUGGGAAAAAAACCAAGUCCUCAGGCCAGGUCUAGUGGCGCACACCUUUAGUCCCAGCACUUGGGUGGCAGAGGCAGGCGGAUCUCUGUGAGUCUGAGACCAGCCUGGUCUACAAGAGCAAGAUCCAGGAUAGUCAAGGCUACACAGAGAAACCCUGUCUCAAAAAAACAAAACAACAAACAAAACCAGGUCCUCUGCAAGAGUAACCCCUCUUAACAUGUAGCCAUCUAUUCAUCUAUUUCAAACUCUAUUUUUUUUUUACUUAUUAUUGUAUUGUGUACUGUGUAUGUGGGUGGAGGAACAUAUAUAGAGGUCAGAGAACAACUUUGUGGAGUCAUUUCUCUACUUUUACUUUUAUAUAGGUUCCAAGGCUCAAACUCAAGUUGUCAGGCAUGUAUGGCAGGUCCCUUUUGUAUCAAGCUUUUUUUGUCGGCCACCAGCUCACAAAUAACAACAUGGAGACUUAUUAACUAUUAAAGCUUGGACUUUGUUAGGCUUUUCCUAACUAGCACUUAUAAGUUAAAUGAACCCAUUUAUAUUAAUUUUACAUUCUGCCACAUGGCUCGUGGCUGUUACCUCUCUUUCUUCACACCCUGCUUGUUCUCCUGACAUCUCCACCUUUCUCCUUCUCCAGAAUCCUCUCUGUCUCUGGAAGUUAUGCCUAAUCUCUUCCUGCCUAGGUAUCACCCAUUUAGCUCUUUAUUAAGGCAAUCAGAAGGCGCCUUGGCAAAGACAUGUCUUUACAGUGUAAAAAAAUAUUCUGCAACACCCCUUUUUCAUUAAACAAUAUCCCAGCCCUGCA